AUUGAACGCUGGCGGCAGGCCUAACACAUGCAAGUCGAACGAGUGGCGGACGGGUGAGUAAUGUCUGGGAAACUGCCUGAUGGAGGGGGAUAACUACUGGAAACGGUAGCUAAUACCGCAUACCAUCAGAUGUGCCCAGAUGGGAUUAGCUUGUAGGUGGGGUAAUGGCUCACCUAGGCGACGAUCCCUAGCUGGUCUGAGGGGAUGACCAGCCACACGGGAACGGAGACACGGUCCAGACUCCUACGUGAGGCAGCAGUGGGGAAUAUUGCACAAUGGGCGCAAGCCUGAUGCAGCCAUGCCGCGUGUAUGAAGAAGGCCUUCGGGUUGUAAAGUACUUUCAGCGGGGAGGCGUUACCCGCAGAAGAAGCACCGGCUAACUCCGUGCCAGCAGCCGCGGUAAUUC
rnacentral:rRNA from 1 species